UCGGGAAUUUUGGGCAAUGGGCGAAAGCCUGACCCAGCAACGCCGCGUGAAGGAUGAAGUAUUUCGGUAUGUAAACUUCGUAAGAAUAGGAAGAAUAAAUGACGGUACUAUUUGUAAGGUCCGGCUAACUACGUGCCAGCAGCCGCGGUAAUACGUAGGGACCAAGCGUUGUUCGGAUUUACUGGGCGUAAAGGGCGCGUAGGCGGUUUGUCAAGUCAGUUGUGAAAUCUCCGAGCUUAACUCGGAACGGUCAACUGAUACUGUCAAACUAGAGUACAGAAGGGGCAAUCGGAAUUCUUGGUGUAGCGGUGAAAUGCGUAGAUAUCAAGAGGAACACCUGAGGUGAAGACGGGUUGCUGGGCUGACACUGACGCUGAGGCGCGAAAGCCAGGGGAGCAAACGGGAUUAGAUACCCAUGUAGUCCCUGAGCGGGCUGGCAAGGCGCAU
rnacentral:rRNA from 1 species